rnacentral:rRNA from 1 species
GACGAACGCUGGCGGCGUGCUUAACACAUGCAAGUCGAGCGGAAAGGCCCUGCUUUUGUGGGCUCCUCGAGUGGCGAACGGGUGAGUAACACGUGAGUACCCUGCCCUUGCCUUUGGGAUAACUUCAGGCAACUUGGGCUAAUCCCGGCUAGGAGCUCCUGCUGCUUGGUGGGCGUUGGAUGGUUUCGGCGGUUGGGAAUGGACUGGCGGCUUAUCAGAUUGUUGGUGGGGCAGUGGCUUACCAAGGUCUUGACGGGUAGCCGGCCUGAGAGGGUGACCGGACACACCACGACUGAGAUACGGCCCAGACUACUACCGGACGCAGAGGAGGGGAAGAGUGCACAAUGGGAGGAGGCAUAGUGUAGUAAAGCCAUGUGGGGGAAGUCGGGCAUGGGGUAGUAUUCUGAUUCUGCUUGUGACGAGACGUUAGUGACGGUAACGGGUAAAGAAGCACCGGCUAACUACGUG